rnacentral:rRNA from 1 species
CCUGUGUGACUGCGUACCUUUUGUAUAAUGGGUCAGCGACUUAUAUUCUGUAGCAAGGUUAACCGAAUAGGGGAGCCGGAGGGAAACCGAGUCUUAAUUGGGCGUUAAGUUGCAGGGUAUAGACCCGAAACCCGGUGAUCUAGCCAUGGGCAGGUUGAAGGUUGGGUAACACUAACUGGAGGACCGAACCGACUAAUGUUGAAAAAUUAGCGGAUGACCUGUGGCUGGGGGUGAAAGGCCAAUCAAACCGGGAGAUAGCUGGUUCUCCCCGAAAGCUAUUUAGGUAGCGCCUCGUGAAUUCAUCUCCGGGGGUAGAGCACUGUUUCGGCUAGGGGGCCAUCCCGGCUUACCAACCCGAUGCAAACUGCGAAUACCGGAGAAUGUUAUCACGGGAGACACACGGCGGGUGCUAACGUCCGUCGUGAAGAGGGAAACAACCCAGACCGCCAGCUAAGGUCCCAAAGUCAUGGUUAAGUGGGAAACGAUGUGGGAAGGCCCAGACAGCCAGGAUGUUGGCUUAGAAGCAGCCAUCAUUUAAAGAAAGCGUAAUAGCUCACUGGUCGAGUCGGCCUGCGCGGAAGAUGUAACGGGGCUAAACCAUGCACCGAAGCUGCGGCAGCGAACGUAU